UCGCCGAGGUUCGCCGAAAUUGUAAGUUACGCGACUGUUAAUCGAAUGGUCGCAGGUUCGAGUCCUGCUCGGGGAGCCA
rnacentral:tRNA from 1 species